UACGGAGGGUGCAAGCGUUGCUCGGAAUCAUUGGGCGUAAAGCGAACGUAGGCGGCUUUGUAAGUCGGGUGUGAAAGCCCUCGGCUCAACCGAGGAAGUGCAUUCGAAACUGCAUGGCUUGAGUGUCGGAGAGGAUAGCGGAAUUCCCGGUGUAGAGGUGAAAUUCGUAGAUAUCGGGAGGAACACCAGUGGCGAAGGCGGCUAUCUGGACGAACACUGACGCUGAAGUUCGAAAGCGUGGGGAGCGAACAGG
rnacentral:rRNA from 1 species